rnacentral:rRNA from 1 species
UACAGAGGGUGCGAGCGUUGUCCGGAAUUACUGGGCGUAAAGCGUGCGUAGGUGGUGAGUUAAGUCUGUCGUGAAAGCCCCGGGCUCAACCUGGGAAUGGCGAUGGAUACUGGCGGGCUAGAGUGCGGUAGAGGAGAGUGGAAUUCCCGGUGUAGCAGUGAAAUGCGUAGAGAUCGGGAGGAACACCAGUGGCGAAGGCGGCUCACUGGCCCGAUACUGACGCUGAGGCACGAAAGCGUGGGGAGCAAACAGG